rnacentral:rRNA from 1 species
AGAGCGAACGCUGGCGGCAGGCCUAACACAUGCAAGUCGAGCGCCCGUAGCAAUACGGGAGCGGCAGACGGGAUAGUAACACGUGGGAACGCGCCCUUCGGUUCGGAAUAACUCAGGGAAACUUGAGCUAAUACCGGAUACGCCCUUACGGGGAAAGAUUUAUUGCCGAAGGAACGGCCCGCGUCCGAUUAGCUAGUUGGUGAGGUAAUGGCUCACCAAGGCGACGAUCGGUAGCUGGUCUGAGAGGAUGACCAGCAUCACUGGGACUGAGACACGGCCCAGACUCCUACGGGAGGCAGCAGUGGGGAAUAUUGGACAAUGGGCGCAAGCCUGAUCCAGCCAUGCCGCGUGGAUGAUGAAGGCCUUAGGGUUGUAAAGUCCUUUUUAACGGGGAAGAUAAUGACGGUACCCGUAGAAUAAGCCCCGGCUAACUUCGCGCCAGCAGCCGC